GAAUGCCAGGGCCAAAAAAUGGGAAUGGGUGGGUAGGGAAGUGGGGGGAGGGUAUGGGGGACUUUUGGGAUAGCAUUCUAAAUGUAAUUGAAGAAAAUACAUAAUAAUAAAAAAUAUUUUUUUUAUAAAAGGAGUGUCUUGGACUACCCUGACCAACACUGCAAAAGGGACCUUAUCUUUGGUGUUGGGUUUGCUGUUGAUAGUCUGUGGGUCUUGCUGGGAGCAUUAUUCACCCAUAUAGAAAAAAAUUUAUUUUAACUAUUUAUGUAUAUGGAUAUAGAGACUUAUAUAUUUAUAUGGAAUUUUAGGUAAAUAAAUACUUUCUUCAGAUAACCUCACUCUUAUUAUUACCCUCGUUCCUCUCCUUUUUGUAUUUAUAUUUUCCUCCCCCUAUAAUUAAAGUGAGCCCCUAUCUUCCCAUUUUCCCCUUCACAUCACUUGUACUAUUUUUUAUUGUUCUACUCCCAUGGUUGCACUUUAUUUUUCAGAUUUUUGUGAUAAUUGGCACAUUUAAAUAUGAAGCUAGGAAUCAUGAACAAAAGAGACCAUGUUGUGUUUGUCUUUUUGAGUAUGGUUACCUCACUCAAUAGAAUAUUUUCUGAUUCCAUCCAUUCACCUAAAGUUCCAUGAUUUCAUUUUUAUUUACAGCCAAAUAGUAUUCCCUAGUACCAGCUUUUCAUCAUCCAGGCCUCAGUUGAUUUUGGCUGAUUACAUUUCCUAGCUAUUGUGAAGAAACAGGCAAGGAACAUGGCUAUCUGCAGAGACGAAUGUUGAUUCCUUUGGUUAUGUAUUAAGAAGUUGGGAGGCUGGCUCAUAUGAUAGACGUAUUUUGAGCUUUUUGAGAAGUCUUCACCCUGAUUUUCACAGUGGCUGCACCACCUAACGAUCCCAUCAACAGUUAAUAAGUGAUCUCCUUUUCCCACAUCUUCUCCAGCAUUUGUUGUUUCUUAAUCUUACCUCCCUCAAAGUUGUUUUAAUUUGCAUUUCUCUAGUUUUCUAAAAAAUGAUGAAUGACACUUUUAUGAUAUUUCUUAGCCACUUUUUCUUCCUUUGAGAACUCUGUUCAGGUUCCAGGACCACAUUUUUGAUUGCGUUGUUUGAUUUUGUCUCUUUGGCUUUUUGAGUUCUUUAUAUGUUCUUGUUAUUAAUCCACUGGCAGAUUAUCUCUUCACUUGGUUGAUUGUUUCCUUAGCUGAAGCUUUUUAAUUUUAUGUGGUCCUAUCUUAAAAUUCUUUGCCUAAAUUCCUGAGCAAAUGGAGUUGUUUUCAGAAAAUCCUUCCCUACAAUUGUAUCUCAUAGGACAGUGCCUAUGUUUUCUUAGAGCACUUUCAGCAUUGCAGCUUGCAUAUUAGGUCUUUAAUCAUUUGGCAUUGUGUUUUGUGCUGGGUGAUAGGUACAGAUCUAAUUUCAUUCUUCUACUCAUGAACAUCUAGUCUUCUCCAUCACUAGUUCAUGAAAAUGCUCUUUUUUCAUGCAUUUGUGUGUGUGUGUGUGUGUGUGUGUGUGUGUGUGUGUGUGUGUGUGUGUGUGUGUUUUAGCUCCUUUGUCAAAUACCAGAUGACUCUAGCUGCAUGCACUUAUUUUAGGGUCUUCUUCUUUUUGUUCCAUUUGUCUAUAUGUCUGUUUUUGCGCAAGUAACCUGAUUUUUAUUACUAUCUGUAAUAAACUCUGGAAUGCUAAUCCCUCCAACAUUGUUUCUUUUGCUCAUGAUUGCUUUGAGUAUCUUGGCUCCUUUGUGAUCCUUAGGAUUUUCUUCUUUUUCAAUAAAGAACAUUAAGCAUUUUGACUGGGAUUGCAUUGAAUCUAAAAGUUACUUUCGUUGAAUGCUCAUUUUCAGCAUAAUAAUUAUGCCACCCAAGAAAAUGAGAGAUCUUUCUAUUGUCAAGUGUUUUGCCCAGUCUCUUUCUUUGGGGACUUUAAGUUGUAGAGAGAUCUUCUACCUCCUGGGUUAUAUUUAUUCCAAAAUAACUUAUACAAAACAAAAGAAACUGAGGAGCACUCGCAAACACCAUCUAUAUAGGCUGUGUAAUUCUAAUACCAAAGCCAAGGAAACACACACACACGUACACGCCAUGCACACACAUUGUCAGUGGCCAUGAAUGUCAGUGAAUCCGUUUCUUUCUCACAUUUGUUAAUGGUGGAUAAAAAAGCCAUUGAUUUUUAUAACAAUAUUUUGUGUAUGACCACACUGCUGAAAUUUUCAUUUUCAGAAUUUUUCGUGGAAUUUUUAGGAUCUCUAAUCUAUAUUUUCAUAUGGAUGUUUUGACUUCUUUAAACAUUUCUUCUUAAACAUUUCUAUCACUUUAUUGUUUCAGCUAAUGCUUUGAGCACUAUAUUUUGGUGAAUUUAACUCAUUUUUCUAGGCUUUUCUUGAAGUUUUCAUGGUGUUAUCUAAGACAAAAGACAUCUCACCCUCUAUGAUGGACUUAUUUCUGAGAGUGCAUUUGAGGCACUUAGGGCUUCCUAAGCAGUGUGUCACCAUAUUUGAAAACAUUUCCAUUCAUUGAAUCUGGGAAGAGACUUUUUACCCUUACUCAAUUUGAAAAUUGCUUAAAGGAUAUUUCAGUCAAAAUUUCUCUUUUAAUAAAACAACACAAAG
rnacentral:lncRNA from 1 species